AUGGCUCCUACCGAGGCUGAGACUGGUGUAGAGGAGGGAGAAGAGCCGAAGAAGAAGGAAAGGAAAGCAGCCGGAGCUGCUUUCACGUGGAUUCAAGCAAACUUUGCGCAUUGCCCUGCGGAUGCCACUGAUGAUGUGAUACAGACACAUGCUCGUGUCUAUAUGUGGUACGUUGUCUCGAGGACUUUGUUUCCUGACUCCACGGACAAGAACGCUCCAUGGAUGUGGCUGAAGGCGUUGACCGUCUUCGUUAGCAAAUGGAGCUAG
rnacentral:rRNA from 1 species